CACAGGCAUACUACCUCUACCUGCCAUGUGGAUUUUGAUGCAGGGGCAAGAUACCAUGGAUCUUGGGGAGAUUUAAGCUCUUUAAUUGCUACGUAUUGCAUUUGUUCAGUAGGAUCUUCCUUACCGUGGAUCUUGCAUGAAAUUUGCUGGUAGGAAUGCACAUCUUAAUUAACAGAUUGUGUUGUUUAUUAGUUUGGGUAAUGGUCAAAGAUUAAGGGAAAAAAUUGAGCAUAGAAGAGAGAGUUUUACAAGUUUUCGUAUAUUACAUUUUAGGGAGUCACAAUAUAGUUAAUUUUAGGUAGGAGGAAUCAAGAAAGUGUCAUGUGGUUUAAAAUAGAAAAUUGCAUCCUUGUAGAGAAGUGUCUGUGGAAUUAGUUAAAAACAUACACUUAGUCUAGCUGAGUGGUUUUUGUUACUGGUUCUUGCUUCUGGGGUAUGCAGAUUAGUGUUGGUUAGAUGAUAUGUGAAACAAAUACUUCAUUUUCCGUGUUCUCAGGAGUUCAUUUGCUGGCUUGGACAGACUAUCUGAAUAUUUGCUAAGUUUCACUUUUGGAAGCCAAUAAUUUUUUUCUUCAUUGUAUGAACAACUAAAACUGAAUAAGCAGUUGGAAGUAAUCAGAUUGUUGUUGGCUGGUGAAUGUGAUUUGUAGUUCAUGAAAAUAUAUAGCAUAUCCAUCCAAAUAUAUCUGACAGCAGGACUAUGAAUUGUGCUAACAAGUAGAAAAAGAGAGUUUUUAUUUGUUGUUGCAUACUUAUCAUGUCAAAUAUCAGGUUUUUAUUUGUUGUAAUUGCUUACUGAUCAUGUCAAACUUCUUGUUUUUUUUCCAUGUAAUAAUGAGAAUGGAAGGAGAUGAGUAUUUCACUAGCUUGAUGAAUGAUGACAGCACUGCACUGAGUCGGGAACUUGGGGUUCUCUGAAUAGCCAGACAAAAUUGCAGCCUUUGCUGAUCGUCGAAAGUACUCUGUCAAUGGUUGUCAUGGCUGGGUAGCAGCAAUCUUGUAUUAUCUUAAUACUAACUGGUUGCACUUGCAAAUAUCUUCAGAGAUGAGCUAGGAAGCACUAUCAUGUAGAUGGGUGAUAGGAGGACCGGAGGAGGCUUGCAUUCAUAUUAUCAACUAUUGGGAUGAAUCUGAGAUAUGUUUCUCAAGCUUCAAAAUGAUAAUAUAACGACAUUAGUUAAACUGGUCUUUAGCAAUGUAUGAAUCUAUCUAAAGGCUACAUAAUUCAGUUUUUUGUAUGGAGGGAGUUUUAGAAUCCAUUUCAGUGUGAUAAUUCUCUCUUGUACCUUUCUUUUAUGCAUAUAUUCAGAUUAUUUGUAAUAUGAUGUUUACUACCGUGAAUAUUGAGUAUUGGACUCAAUGUUCAAUGGAAACCCAUUUUUCAUGUUAUAUAUUCA